ACUUACUUUAUUAAGUUUAAUUUAAUAAAGACUUCAUUUGUUAGUUGACAGUAAAGAGUGACAGAAAAUGAUUAACUUGAUACUGUGACAUCACUGUUACAUGCAAUGUGUCCUAGACUGCUGGUCUACCACAAUUUAUAUUUUAUGUAUUUAGACCACUUCUAACCUCAGUUCAAACCUGAUUAACUCAAGCUAAGCUGUCCAAAGUGACUGUAAAACAGACAGAAUCAGCUCUCUUUAAUGCAGGACUUUUGCUGUGAAGUAGCUGCAGGAAAUGUUGAGUUUAGAUCAGUAACAACAGACAGAUCACUAAAUGUUUAAAAAGACAGAGAAACAGUUAAGUAUUUUUUUUUAUAAAAGUGCACUAUUACUCUCUGUAAAUCUGUCUGUAAAGUUUGCCUGAAUUUUCUCAGUCACAAUUGCCUCUUCUAAGUCUUUUUCUGCAUGACAGCAAAUAUAAUCUAAAUCCUUUAUUGGCUAGCAUUAAAUAAACGCUGUUAUAAUGCAUAGAACAAUGUAGUUGAGAUAGGUCAAUUCUGUCCCGCUCUCCCUUAAAGGAGACAUAUUAUGCCUUUUUUCAGGUUCACAAUUUUACUUAGUAUAACGUAAACAAGAACUUACUAGAAAGGUUUAUGUGUUUUAAUGUUCAAAAAACACAUUAUUUCUCUCAUACUGCCUAAAGCUGAAGCACCUCUUUUCCCCCUCUGUGUGAAACGCUCUGUUUGAGCUCCCGUCUCUGUAAGGCCCUCCUUCUGAAAAGCCCAGUCUGCUCUGAUUGGUCAGCUCCUACGAACUGCUGCAGCUUUCACCUUCCGUCUUCCGUCUUGCGCCGCAGGCAGCCCCUCACUGUUGAUGAGUUUAGUUGCAUUUCUAAUUCAGUAACUGCUUCUAAACCAAAAACUUCACUACCAGACCUGAAAUCUUGGAGAAAUUAACAAUCAGGAUUACAGCUUUCCACGACGUUUUCUCCAGGUACAGUGACAUAAAGUCUACACAGCCCAGUGAAGUAAAAGCACUUGUUGUGAAGAGCUAAAGAGGUAACAUGUUAGCAUGUGCAUAUAGCAUAGUACCAAAUGUAAAUACUUACAGUAAUUACCAGGAUGUAGGGAUGGAAACAGUGAUAGUAUAAUGAUUACUGUAGCCACCCAUCUGUUAUACUCUUUAUACACAUUAGUGAGACUGAGCUAGGUUAGUGGAUACUUUAUCCUGUAUAACAUGUCAACAUAACUUAAUGUCUAAUAAAGUAAUGUGCUUAUGUAGUUGAAAAACUGCUCAGUAACCAACUGUGGACGGUACUGUAUCCAUAUCUCAUAGUAAGUCUGAUAUUUUAACUUGAAACACAUGUGUUAUUGUCACACAAAUGUUGCCAAAUGUAUGCUCAUGCAUAAUGCAGAUGAUGCGUUUUAACCCCAAUAUUGUAUCACUUACAUUGUCUGUCAACAUCAUAAUAAAGUUUCACUGUGAACCAGAAA